rnacentral:misc_RNA from 1 species
UCUAAAGGGCAUACCAACAGUUGCUAGACAUAUGCCGCUGCAUCCAUAUCCCCUAUCGGGCGUGACGCCUCUCUCUCUCUUGCAACAACUACAGCGAAGGCCAUGCGGCGGCAGUGCUAGUUCGUGGCUGCUCCGGCGGCUGCCGCUGCAGCGACGGUGCGAGGCACGAGUGGAGGUGCAGCGACGCAGCUUUGCCACCUGCGACAUGCAACUUUCGCGCUCUUCGCCAGCGCCGCCGUCGUCAUCGUCAUCGCUGCUAUCUACCACGAUGCAGGCGAAGGAUGUCGUGACGCGCCUUGGUCCGAGCGAGCGCCUCCCCGGGCUGCGCGGCGUGUUUCUCACAAAGCCGAUAAAAAAGUUUCACCCCAUCGAGGUACUACCCACCGCUGCUUCUGCCGCCGCGACCACCACGACUGCCGCCACAGCUGACAGCAGCGCAGAGCGGCCGGACGCUCCUCGCAGCUCGACAUCCGCCAUCGUCUCACAGGCCCCACCGCUUGUGCUGAACUUGGCCUUUGCUCCUCGACACAGCAUCUCACUGCGCCGCUUUCUGGCCCUUCGGCACAUGUUCAGCACAUCUGCCUACCUGCACGUGACGACAGAGGAUGGCUGGUACUUGGUUGCGCCGAGCUCCGCGGCACCCCUCUGCCCCGACGUCACUGGCCUGCAGGCGUGGUGCUGUCGCCAUCAUCACCGAUACCUCAAGCAUGCCUCCACCGCCGUCAAGGCGGCCACAUCGUCGACCACGCCAUCGUCGCGAGCGGCCCGCUGCAGCACGCAUACAGAGAUAACCAAGCUGGAGGCAGCGCUGGACAACGGCGAGGAGCUCAGCGAGGAGCAGCUGCAGAGGCUGGCGGCGCAGGAGAAGGCGUCCUUUGCGCACACGCCAGAAAGCGAGGAGGCGGAUAUGGAUGAUCACACCGAUGGGACCGACGACAUGCCUGCUGUACAUGAACCGCGCGACCCAGUUAGUCGGAAGACCGCAUCACCCACCGCAGAAACUCUCCGGGAGCGCUCCGCUGGUGCUCCAGCAUCCGCUUUCGGAUUGUCACCGCCGGAGUUGAGGACGCCACCGCCGCUCAUCUCCGAGGCACACCUCUUCGACAUUAACGACGGCGUCGCGUGGCCACUGCCGCCGUCCGACGACUUGGCCAACCACGAGUACUGGAAGAGCCAUCGUCAACGCAUGGCGCUAUACGAGAGCACCGGCGAUGCAGACGCCUCCGAGCAGCGCGAAGCGCUCCUGGCGACUCUCCGCGCCGACCCGGAGAUAGCGCAGAAACUGUCGUCUGAGCAGGAGCUGUACACUGCCGCCGAGGCGCUCUUUCAGGCGCUGAAGCACAAGGCCAACGUGACCCUGAACGUAGACGCCGACACCGGCCUUCUCACGCUCGUCCCGCUGCGGGAUCUGCACGCUGGCGAAGAGCUCCUUCUCCACUACGGCCGCGAGUGGUGGACUGGGCGACUGCUCUUCUCGCUGCUCUUGUCCAUAUCAGACGCCGAGAUGCCGCAGAUCCGGUGGAUCGAGCAGCUGUUUGAUCACGCCGUAGACAGGAACGAGCCUUUCCCACUGCUCAUCGUGGCACAUGAGCAGCGCAAGCGGCCUCGGCGAGGCUGUUCAAGGGGACCAAAGGUUUGCAAGGGCCUCAAGAGCGAAUCCAGCGGCGACGGCGACGAGCGGCAGCAGCAGUCAACACAGUGUGCGCCGCUGACGAAGCCUCACGGUGACUCUGCUGAGACAUCUUCUACCACCGCCAUGACGGCAGAGCUGCCCAUGUCUCAACGCAAGCUGGGUCGUGCCGUUCUAUACAAUACCGUCACACGUAAGAGAGCGACCGACGCCGCCGUGCUCGCCUUCGCGGUUCGGCGGAGCUGCAUUGAGCAGGGCUUCCUGAGUCGCCUUCUGGUCGGCGACGCGGCGGGCGGGGCCGAACCGGUGUUUCAACUCUCCGAGCCAGACAAAGAGGUACCCAUGCGAGUGCUGCGACGCGUGCUGCUGGCGUCUCUUCGCGGCAUGACGGCGAGCGCACAGAGAACCGUUCCACACAAGGACGAGAACGCCCCUGCCGUGGCGGGUUCGGCCGUCGCGGAUACCGCCGCUGCUGUCGUCGACCAGGGCGCACCACCACAGACAAGUGCUAACACCGGCGGUGACGGUGAUGAUGGGGACGACGCUGUCUUCAGCGUCUAGCGCAAGAGACGUGUGUGAAAAGGCGGUUUGGAGUGAGCGAAGAGAGAGCUCGUGGAAUGGCGCGCAUGCAUGCGAUGCGUCCCGGCUUCCUCUCUGCUGUUGCUGCUGCUGCCCUCCCUCUCCUUCCAGCGCGUGCUCCAUCCCACGUGUGUAUCAUGACGCCGCUCACGACGGAGGCCUGUUUAUCAACGUAUGGCGUCUCUUUGCACUAACGUCUGCCAUCGUGGAGACCCACACACAUGCGCACGCCGCUGUCUCAGAGACGAGGGGGCCGGCCAGCGCGUUCAACUGUGUUCGUGUGUGUCUUCCCUCUCUUCCCCGCCUCUACCCUUUCUCCAGUGGACUUUGUGGUGAUGUAUGCGCGUCUGUGCCCUUCCCGCCAUCUCUCUCCAUCACCACGAGCUCCACACAUGCGCGUGCCCAGCCUUGCCCUGAUGCACACACCUGCUGCCUUGACACUCUCUCACGAACCCAUCUCCGCGCUCCCUUGUUCAUCUCCACUUAUGACACUUCACCAACAACAGAACAACCCCUCUGACCUCCUUCCCUUCGAUACAGGCGCCCUCUCCCUCAUCGUUCCUCAGGUGCUGACGCACGAACGGCCUCGUACAG